UACGGGGGGAGCAAGCGUUGUUCGGAUUUACUGGGCGUAAAGGGUGCGUAGGCGGCGCGGUAAGUCGGGUGUGAAAUCUCGGGGCUUAACUCCGAAACUGCAUUCGAUACUGCCGUGCUUGAGGACUGGAGAGGUGACUGGAAUUUACGGUGUAGCGGUGAAAUGCGUAGAUAUGUGGCGGAACACCGAUGGCGAAGGCAGCCCCCUGGGCUGAGAUUGACGCUCAGGCACGAAAGCGUGGGGAGCAAACAGG
rnacentral:rRNA from 1 species